GAUGAACGCUGGCGGCGUGCCUAAUACAUGCAAGUCGAGCGAAUGGAUUAAGAGCUUGCUCUUAUGAAGUUAGCGGCGGACGGGUGAGUAACACGUGGGUAACCUGCCCAUAAGACUGGGAUAACUCCGGGAAACCGGGGCUAAUACCGGAUAACAUUUUGAACCGCCUGGUUCGAAAUUGAAAGGCGGCAUCGGCUGUCACUUAUGGAUGGACCCGCGUCGCAUUAGCUAGUUGGUGAGGUAACGGCUCACCAAGGCAACGAUGCGUAGCCGACCUGAGAGGGUGAUCGGCCACGCUGGGACUGAGACACGGCCCAGACUCCUACGGGAGGCAGCAGUAGGGAAUCUUCCGCAAUGGACGAAAGUCUGACGGAGCAACGCCGCGUGAGUGAUGAAGGCUUUCGGGUCGUAAAACUCUGUUGUUAGGGAAGAACAAGUGCUAGUUGAAUAAGCUGGCACCUUGACGGUACCUAACCAGAAAGCCACGGCUAACUACGUGCCAGCAGCCGCCGUAA
rnacentral:rRNA from 1 species